CUACGGGGUGCUCCAGUGGGGAAUAUUGCGCAAUGGGCGAAAGCCUGACGCAGCAACGCCGCGUGAGUGAUGAAGGCCUUCGGGUCGUAAAGCUCUGUCGGGAGGGAAGAACACCUUCGGGUCUGACGGUACCUCCCGAGGAAGCACAGGCUAACUCCGUGCCAGCAGCCGCGGUAAUACGGAGUGUGCAAGCGUUGUUCGGAAUUACUGGGCGUAAAGCGCGCGUAGGCGGCUUGAUAAGUCAGAUGUGAAAUCCCUCGGCUUAACCGAGGAACUGCAUUUGAAACUGUCAGGCUUGAGUACGGGAGGGGGAAGCGGAAUUCCCAGUGUAGAGGUGAAAUUCGUAGAUACUGGGAGGAACACCAGCGGCGAAGGCGGCUUCCUGGACCGAUACUGACGCUGAGGCGCGAAAGCGUGGGGAGCAAACAGGAUUAGAUACCCCAGUAGUC
rnacentral:rRNA from 1 species